UAGCAAUCGGGUUUCCUUUUUGGC
rnacentral:siRNA from 1 species